rnacentral:rRNA from 1 species
CCUACGGGAGACAGCAGUGGGGGAUAUUGCACAAUGGGGGAAACCCUGAUGCAGCGACGCCGCGUGGGUGAAGAAGCGCCUCGGCGCGUAAAGCCCUGUCAGCAGGGAAGAAAAUGACGGUACCUGAAGAAGAAGCCCCGGCUAACUACGUGCCAGCAGCCGCGGUAAUACGUAGGGGGCAAGCGUUAUCCGGAUUUACUGGGUGUAAAGGGGGCGCAGACGGCGAUGCAAGCCAGGAGUGAAAGCCCGGGGCCCAACCCCGGGACUGCCCUUGGAACUGCGUGGCUAGAGUGCAGGAGGGGCGGGCGGAAUUCCUGGUGUAGCGGUGAAAUGCGUAGAUAUCAGGAGGAACACCGGUGGCGAAGGCGGCCUGCUGGACUGCAACUGACGUUGAGGCCCGAAAGCGUGGGGAGCAAACAGGAUUAGAUACCCCGGUAGUC